AACGAACGCUGGCGGCAGGCCUAACACAUGCAAGUCGAACGCCGUAGCAAUACGGAGUGGCAGACGGGUGAGUAACACGUGGGAACGUACCCUUCGGUUCGGAAUAACUCAGGGAAACUUGAGCUAAUACCGGAUACGUCCGAGAGGAGAAAGAUUUAUCGCCGAGGGAUCGGCCCGCGUCUGAUUAGCUUGUUGGUGAGGUAACGGCUCACCAAGGCGACGAUCAGUAGCUGGUCNGAGAGGAUGAUCAGCCACAUUGGGACUGAGACACGGCCCAAACUCCUACGGGAGGCAGCAGUGGGGAAUAUUGGGCAAUGGGUGCAAGCCUGAUCCAGCCAUGCCGCGUGAGUGAUGAAGGCCCUAGGGUUGUAAAGCUCUUUUGUGCGGGAAGAUAAUGACGGUACCGCAAGAAUAAGCCCCGGCUAACUUCGUGCCAGCAGCCGCGGUAAC
rnacentral:rRNA from 1 species